AUUGAACGCUGGCGGCAGGCCUAACACAUGCAAGUCGAGCGGAUGAAGGGAGCUUGCUCCUGGAUUCAGCGGCGGACGGGUGGGUAAUGCCUAGGAAUCUGCCUGGUAGUGGGGGAUAACGUCCGGAAACGGGCGCUAAUACCGCAUACGUCCUGAGGGAGAAAGUGGGGGAUCUUCGGACCUCACGCUCUCAGAUGAGCCUAGGUCGGAUUAGCUAGUUGGUGGGGUAAAGGCCUACCAAGGCGACGAUCCGUAACUGGUCUGAGAGGAUGAUCAGUCACACUGGAACUGAGACACGGUCCAGACUCCUACGGGAGGCAGCAGUGGGGAAUAUUGGACAAUGGGCGAAAGCCUGAUCCAGCCAUGCCGCGUGUGUGAAGAAGGUCUUCGGAUUGUAAAGCACUUUAAGUUGGGAGGAAGGGCAGUAAGUUAAUACCUUGCUGUUUUGACGUUACCAACAGAAUAAGCACCGGCUAACUUCGUG
rnacentral:rRNA from 1 species